ensembl:snRNA U6 U6 spliceosomal RNA
AUGCUUUGGCAGCAUAUGUACAAAAAUUGGAAUAAUUCAGAGAAGAUUAGCAUGAUCCCUGGGCAAGAAUGAUACACAAAUCCAAGAUGUAUUUCAUAUUUUU